GUAGGGAAUAUUCCGCAAUGGGCGAAAGCCUGACGGAGCAACGCCGCGUGAGUGAAGAAGGUCUUCGGAUCGUAAAGCUCUGUCAACAGGGACGAAACAAGACGGUACCUGAGAAGGAAGCCACGGCAAACUACGUGCCAGCAGCCGCGGUAAUACGUAGGUGGCAAGCGUUUUCCGGAAUAACUGGGCGUAAAGCGCAUGUAGACGGCCUGAUAAGCCAAAUGUGAAAUGUAGGGGCUCAACCCCUACACUGCGAUUGGAGCUGUCGAGCGUGAGUGCAGGAGAGGCAAAUGGAAUUCCCAGUGUAGCAGUGAAAUGCGUAGAGAUUGGGAGGAACACCAGUGGCGAAGGCGAUUUGCUGGACUGCAACUGACGUUGAGAUGCGAAAGCCAGGGGAGCAAACGGGAUUAGAUACCCGUGUAGUCC
rnacentral:rRNA from 1 species